rnacentral:rRNA from 1 species
UGGGGCAGCUUACACAUGCAGUCGAGCGGGGUGAUGGUGCUUGCACUAUCACCUAGCGGCGGACGGGUGAGUAAUGCUUAGGAAUCUGCCUAUUAGUGGGGGACAACAUUUCGAAAGGAAUGCUAAUACCGCAUACGUCCUACGGGAGAAAGCAGGGGAUCUUCGGACCUUGCGCUAAUAGAUGAGCCUAAGUCGGAUUAGCUAGUUGGUGGGGUAAAGGCCUACCAAGGCGACGAUCUGUAGCGGGUCUGAGAGGAUGAUCCGCCACACUGGGACUGAGACACGGCCCAGACUCCUACGGGAGGCAGCAGUGGGGAAUAUUGGACAAUGGGCGCAAGCCUGAUCCAGCCAUGCCGCGUGUGUGAAGAAGGCCUUAUGGUUGUAAAGCACUUUAAGCGAGGAGGAGGCUACUUUAGAUAAUACCUAGAGAUAGUGGACGUUACUCGCAGAAUAAGCACCGGCUAACUCUGUGCCAGCAGCCGCGGUAAUACAGAGGGUGCAAGCGUUAAUCGGAUUUACUGGGCGUAAAGCGCGCGUAGGCGGCUAAUUAAGUCAAAUGUGAAAUCCCCGAGCUUAACUUGGGAAUUGCAUUCGAUACUGGUUAGCUAGAGUGUGGGAGAGGAUGGUAGAAUUCCAGGUGUAGCGGUGAAAUGCGUAGAGAUCUGGAGGAAUACCGAUGGCGAAGGCAGCCAUCUGGCCUAACACUGACGCUGAGGUGCGAAAGCAUGGGGAGCAAACAGGAUUAGAUACCCUGGUAGUCCAUGCCGUAAACGAUGUCUACUAGCCGUUGGGGCCUUUGAGGCUUUAGUGGCGCAGCUAACGCGAUAAGUAGACCGCCUGGGGAGUACGGUCGCAAGACUAAAACUCAAAUGAAUUGACGGGGGCCCGCACAAGCGGUGGAGCAUGUGGUUUAAUUCGAUGCAACCCGUAGAACCUUACCUGGCCUUGACAUAGGAAGAACUUUCCUGAAAAGGAAUGUUGUCCUUCGGGAACUUACUUACGGGUGCUGCUUGGUGGAUCUCUCGCUUCGUGCCGUGAGAUGUUG